rnacentral:rRNA from 1 species
UGCAAGUCGAACGGCAGCACAGGAUAGCUUGCUAUCCGGGUGGCGAGUGGCGGACGGGUGAGUAACGCGUAGGAAUCUACCUUUUCGUGGGGGAUAACCCGGGGAAACUCGGGCUAAUACCGCAUACGCCCUACGGGGGAAAGCGGGGGACCUUCGGGCCUCGCGCGGAACGAUGAGCCUGCGUCCUAUCAGGUAGUUGGUGAGGUAAUGGCUCACCAAGCCGACGACGGGUAGCUGGUCUGAGAGGACGACCAGCCACACUGGGACUGAGACACGGCCCAGACUCCUACGGGAGGCAGCAGUGGGGAAUAUUGGACAAUGGGGGAAACCCUGAUCCAGCAAUACCGCGUGUGUGAAGAAGGCCUUCGGGUUGUAAAGCACUUUUAGCAGGAAAGAAAGGCCGUGCGCUAAUACCGCAUGGUUCUGACGUUACUUGCAGAA